rnacentral:rRNA from 1 species
CCUACGGGAGGCAGCAGUGGGGAAUAUUGCACAAUGGGCGCAAGCCGAUGCAGCCAUGCCGCGUGUAUGAAGAAGGCCUUCGGGUUGUAAAGUACUUUCACGAGGAGGAAGGCAUUAAGGUUAAUAACCUUAGUGAUUGACGUUACUCGCAGAAGAAGCACCGGCUAACUCCGUGCCAGCAGCCGCGGUAAU